AUGCUUAACACAUGCAAGUCGAGGGGUAACAGGCCAUGAUGAUUUCUUCGGAAUGAUUCCGGCGCUGACAACCGGCGGACGGGUGAGUAAUGCGUAGGAACCUGCCCCGUAGUGGGGGAUAGCCCGAAGAAAUUCGGAUUAAUACCGCAUGUGAUCCACGGAUCAAAGCGGGCCUCUACUUGUAAGCUCGCGCUAUGGGAUGGGCCUACGUCGGAUUAGCUUGUUGGUGAGGUAACGGCUCACCAAGGCGACGAUCCGUAGCUGGUCUGAGAGGAUGAUCAGCCACACUGGGACUGAGACACGGCCCAGACUCCUACGGGAGGCAGCAGUGGGGAAUAUUGCACAAUGGGCGCAAGCCUGAUGCAGCAAUGCCGCGUGUGUGAAGAAGGCCCUAGGGUUGUAAAGCACUUUCAGUGGGGAAGAAAAGCCUAAAGAUAAUACCUUUGGGUCUUGACGGUACCUACAGAAGAAGUACCGGCUAAUUCCGUG
rnacentral:rRNA from 1 species